ensembl:lncRNA
GUUCGCAAGUCGAUUGUAAAUUCCAUGCGACUGCAACCUCGAUAUGCCUUGCUAAAUCUAGUGACACACGCCGAGCUUCUGUUAACCCUUUGGACGUGAUUUCACACAGGAAGAGUUGCUGCACACCCACCAUUAAGACACAGUAGCUGGAGAUAACCAAGAACAGAUGAUAGAAAGAUGUGCAACACAGUAGCAUAAUUAAGAAUGGUAAAGAAUCUGCCUGCCAAUGCAGACAUGGCUUCAAGACCUGAUCUGGGAAGAGUCCACACACCAUGGGGCACCUAAGCCCGUGCACAACUACUGAGCCCAUGAGCCACAACUACUGAAGCCUGCGUGCCCUGGAGCCUGUCCACAGCAAGAGAAGCCAACUGCAACCAUAAGAAAGCCCUUGUGCAGCAACAGAGACCCAGCUCAGCCAAAAAUAGAUUUUUUAAAAAUCUGCU